rnacentral:lncRNA from 1 species
CAUCAUUCAAAGAGGUUGAGAAAAUAUUUUUGUAUUUUUUGAAUAUCAAAAACUAUUUAAAAUGAAUUAAAAAUAACCAGAAAAGAGAAAAUUCAUAAAAAAUAUCAAAUGAUAAAAUAAAAAAUAUUAAAAAUCAUUUUUAGAAACUAGAAAUUAAAAGAGAAAUAAUGCAAUUGGUCUCACAUUUUUUGGACCAAUAAUGAAUGAGAUAUGAUUUU